UUAAAUUAGUAAGGGCGCAUGGUGGAUGCCUUGGCACUAGAAGCUGAAGAAGGACGUGACAAACAACGAUAUGCUUCGGGGAGUAGUAAGUAUACUUUGAUCCGGAGAUUUCCGAAUGGGGGAACCCACUAGUAAGAAACUACUAGUAUCAUAAAGCGAAUACAUAACUUUAUAGAGAGCAACCCGGUGAACUGAAACAUCUAAGUAACCGGAGGAGAAGAAAGAAAGCAAUCGAUUCCCUAAGUAGUGGCGAGCGAAAGGGGAGCAGCCCAAACCAAUCUUCGGAUUGGGGUUAAAGGACUCCAUAAGUAGAGAAGAAAGUCUUAAUAUAGUUGAAGUCGUUGGGAAGCGAUACCGAAGAAGGUGACAGUCCUGUAGGCGAAAUAUUAAGAACUCGAAGGAGGAUCCUGAGUACAAUGGGACACGAGAAAUCCUGUUGGAAGUAACGGGGACCAUCCCGUAAGGCUAAAUACUCUCUAGUGACCGAUAGUGAACAAGUACCGUGAGGGAAAGGUGAAAAGAACCCCGGGAGGGGAGUGAAAUAGAAUACUGAAACCAUGUGCUUACAAGAAGUCAAAGCACAUUAAAGUGUAAUGGCGUGCCUUUUGCAGAAUGAACCGGCGAGUUAAUGUUGCAUGCGAGGUUAAGUAGAAGAUACGGAGCCGAAGCGAAAGCGAGUCUUAAUAGGGCGAGUUAGUAUGUAGUAUUAGACCCGAAACCGAGUGAUCUAGCCAUGAGCAGAUUGAAGUUUGGGUAAAACCAAAUGGAGGAUCGUACCGACGUACCCGGAAACGUGCGCGGAUGACUUGUGGCUAGCGGUGAAAUUCCAAUCGAACUCGGAUAUAGCUGGUUCUCCCCGAAAUAGGUUUAGGCCUAGCCUCGAGGUAGAGAUAUGUGAAGGUAGAGCACUGAAUGUCCGAUGGCCCCGUCUAGGGGUACUGAAUGCAAUCAAACUCCGAAUGUCAUGUAUUAUACUCGGGAGUCAGCGUGCGGGUGAUAACGUCCGUACGCGAAAGGAAAAGAGUCCAAGAUCGCCAAUUAAGGUCCCAAAAUCUGUACUAAGUGGGAAAGGAUGUGGAGUUGUCAAAACAGCUAGGAGGUUGGCUCAGAAGCAGCCAUCCUUUAAAGAGUGCGUAAUAGCUCACUAGUCGAGUGACACUGCGCCGAAGAUGUACCGGGGCUAAGUACAGUACCGAAGUUGCGGAUUCAUGCAUAAGCAUGAGUGGUAGGGGAGCGUUCUAACAGCGGAGAAGGUUUACCGGAAGGAGAGCUGGAGCGGUUAGAAGUGAGAAUGCCGGUGUGAGUAGCGCAAGCUGGGUGAGAAUCCCGGCCACCGUUUGCCUAAGGGUUCCUGGGGAAGGUUCGUCCUCCCAGGGUUAGUCGGGUCCUAAGACGAGGCUGAAAAGCGUAGCCGAUGGACAACAGGUUUAUAUUCCUGUACUAUCUGUAUAACUGAAGGAAUGACGAAGAAGGCUAUGGAGAUCCAGUUAAUGGAUUCUGGUCUAAGCACAAAGGUUUAUAAAAAAGGAAAUCUGUUUAUAGAGCAACUGAAGUGUGAUGGGGAAGGAGUUAGAGAUAACCCCGAACUUUCCAGACGCCAAGCUUCCAAGAAAAGUUUCUAGGGCUAAUUAUACAGGUACCCGUACCGAGAACCGACACAGGUGGGCAAGGAGAGUAUCCUAAGGUGAGCGAGAGAACUAUGGUUAAGGAACUCGGCAAAAUGACCCCGUAACUUCGGGAUAAGGGGUGGUCAAGCGAUUGACCCGCAGUAAAGAGGCCCAGGCAACUGUUUACCAAAAACACAGGUUUCUGCAAAAGCGCAAGCUGAAGUAUAGGAGCUGACGCCUGCCCAGUGCUGGAAGGUUAAUAGGAGAGCUUAGAUGUGACGAAAGUCGAUAGCAUCGAAGGUUCGAAUUGAAGCCCCAGUGAACGGCGGCCGUAACUAUAACGGUCCUAAGGUAGCGAAAUUCCUUGUCAGGUAAGUUCUGACCCGCACGAAAGGCGUAAUGAUCUGGGUACUGUCUCAACCAUAGACUCGGUGAAAUCUUAUUACCUGUGAAAAUGCAGGUUACCCGCGACUGGACGGGAAGACCCCAUGGAGCUUUACUAUAGCUUGAUAUUGAGGUUUGGUAAGUUAUGUAGAGAAUAGGUGGGAGACUGAGAGAUAUCGGCGCCAGCUGAUAAGGAGUCAGCAAUGGAAUACCACCCUUAACUUAUUGAACUUCUAACCUAGGUCCAUAAUCUGGAUCAGGGACAGUGUCUGGUGGGUAGUUUGACUGGGGCGGUCGCCUCCCAAAAAGUAACGGAGGCGC
rnacentral:rRNA from 1 species